GGGUUGCUGGGCUUGUGUAACCGUGCCUAGAGGGCGGGGUUCCUGUACAUUCCCACUUCACCAGAUAACCUGCCCCCAACACCACUCCAGCUUCUGCCAGACAGAUGGAACUCUCCAACAUGAAAAUCUGCGCAGCCAUUCCAACAAGCAGGACUGUGCCUGAGGUUGCCCGAAGGAUGCCGAGGAAAAAAGACUUAAGGACUGAGAGCGCUCUUACCCCAAGAUCGAACGAAAGGGCCUUGAGAAAUGGAAUUACUCUCCUCAUCCUGGCGAGUUUUCCUGAAACUACUUAUCCUCAGCAUCCGCACUAUGAGAGGUGGAGCCUGACAGUCAGGCGGCUGCAGGCAGAAGCCCUCUAAGUUAACACAGCGAUAUGGCCCGUUAGAACCAAGCACUCUCGGCAUUCUUGAGAGACUGAGAUUCCGGAGCAGCAGAUGAACGGGACUGGGACUUAGAGCGAAGCAUGCUCACCCACCCCUCCCUCCAUCUUUUUACGCACGCACCAGCUCGUCUUCACGUGCAUCAGGGUAGUGGACAGUGUUGACUUGAAUUGCUCUCGCUCACUCCAAGCCUUUCCUGUGAAUGAACCCGAAAACACUCGACAGGUCGUGAAUAAUCGUUUUAAUGAGUGUGCAAAGCGUGUGACGGGGUGCACCGAGCUGUCGGGUUAAACAAACAACUUGUACCCUGACCAAAUCCGAUUGUUAAAGUGCAAAGUGAUGUCAGUACCAUUUCCAUUGCCCUUCAGAAAACCACAGAUCUGACACGCGGGAGUCCAAUUUUCUCCAUUAAAGAAAAAUAACAAUA